UAAANAUCAACAGCAACCACACUAAAAAGAUAGACUCUCAACUAAACAGUUAUGUGAAUCAUAACAAGCAUUAUUAUUUAAAUAAUGAAUAAUUUUCUACAUGUGUGCUUUGUGUUGUUUGUAGAGUUUGUGGUAUGUUAGUUCACCGGUAUUUGGUUUGUGUUGACAUACCAGUUUUAUUUUUUGAUUUAUCAUUAUUUUUCAGUAAAUACUGUAAAAUUAGUAAAUACUAUAAAUUAUAUAAACCAUGUGUGUGGUUAUCAGGUUACCAUAGUACAAAAAAUAAUUGAAAAUAUUCUGCAGUAGAUCAAAUGGUGGUUACUGAAACAGUAGUAUACUGGUAUUUGAAAAUACCAGUGAUUCACCGGUAUACUGAAAAUACUGCCAGCUCUAGUUGGAUGGUAACCAAAUUAUUAAAUAUUCUAAUCUAACACGUACCGAAAUAAAAAUGUUUGUGUGACUUAACACUGCUAGGUCCUCAGUUUAUGUUAUGAGUAGGACAACAUUUUGUACCGUAUUUAUGAUAUAAGUAUAGAACUAAGUAUCAAAUAUUUAUAAUACAUAACACAUGGUAUUUGAAUAUCAUAUUUUAUUUUUAAGCCAACAUAUUAAAUACAAUAAUAAAUAGGUGGUAAAUGGAAAGGUACAUAAAGUAAUUUAUUUUAUAUAUGUUAACAACAAUUAACCAUUGCCAAUCAAAUAUGAUUUUGAG